UCCAUGGAGAAGCGUGUCUUUCCUAAU
rnacentral:piRNA from 1 species